rnacentral:rRNA from 2 species
GGGUUGUGAGGUUAAGCGACUAAGCGUACACGGUGGAUGCCCUGGCAGUCAGAGGCGAUGAAGGACGUGCUAAUCUGCGAAAAGCGUCGGUAAGGUGAUAUGAACCGUUAUAACCGGCGAUGUCCGAAUGGGGAAACCCAGUGUGAUUCGUCACACUAUCGUUAACUGAAUACAUAGGUUAACGAGGCGAACCGGGGGAACUGAAACAUCUAAGUACCCCGAGGAAAAGAAAUCAACCGAGAUUCCCCCAGUAGCGGCGAGCGAACGGGGAGCAGCCCAGAGUCUGAAUCAGCUUGUGUGUUAGUGGAACGGUCUGGAAAGUCCGACGGUACAGGGUGAUAGUCCCGUACACCAAAAUGCACAGGCUGUGAACUCGAAGAGUAGGGCGGGACACGUGGUAUCCUGUCUGAAUAUGGGGGGACCAUCCUCCAAGGCUAAAUACUCCUGACUGACCGAUAGUGAACCAGUACCGUGAGGGAAAGGCGAAAAGAACCCCGGCGAGGGGAGUGAAAAAGAACCUGAAACCGUGUACGUACAAGCAGUGGGAGCACCUUCGGGUGUGACUGCGUACCUUUUGUAUAAUGGGUCAGCGACUUAUAUUCUGUAGCAAGGUUAACCGUAUAGGGGAGCCGCAGGGAAACCGAGUCUUAACUGGGCGUUAAGUUGCAGGGUAUAGACCCGAAACCCGGUGAUCUAGCCAUGGGCAGGUUGAAGGUUGGGUAACACUAACUGGAGGACCGAACCGACUAAUGUUGAAAAAUUAGCGGAUGACUUGUGGCUGGGGGUGAAAGGCCAAUCAAACCGGGAGAUAGCUGGUUCUCCCCGAAAGCUAUUUAGGUAGCGCCUCGUGAACUCAUCUUCGGGGGUAGAGCACUGUUUCGGCUAGGGGGUCAUCCCGACUUACCAACCCGAUGCAAACUACGAAUACCGAAGAAUGUUAUCACGGGAGACACACGGCGGGUGCUAACGUCCGUCGUGAAGAGGGAAACAACCCAGACCGCCAGCUAAGGUCCCAAAGUCAUGGUUAAGUGGGAAACGAUGUGGGAAGGCACAGACAGCCAGGAUGUUGGCUUAGAAGCAGCCAUCAUUUAAAGAAAGCGUAAUAGCUCACUGGUCGAGUCGGCCUGCGCGGAAGAUGUAACGGGGCUAAACCAUGCACCGAAGCUGCGGCAGCGACACUAUGUGUUGUUGGGUAGGGGAGCGUUCUGUAAGCCUGCGAAGGUGUGCUGUGAGGCAUGCUGGAGGUAUCAGAAGUGCGAAUGCUGACAUAAGUAACGAUAAAGCGGGUGAAAAGCCCGCUCGCCGGAAGACCAAGGGUUCCUGUCCAACGUUAAUCGGGGCAGGGUGAGUCGACCCCUAAGGCGAGGCCGAAAGGCGUAGUCGAUGGGAAACAGGUUAAUAUUCCUGUACUUGGUGUUACUGCGAAGGGGGGACGGAGAAGGCUAUGUUAGCCGGGCGACGGUUGUCCCGGUUUAAGCAUGUAGGCUGAUUGUCCAGGCAAAUCCGGAUAAUCAAGGCUGAGGUGUGAUGACGAGGCACUACGGUGCUGAAGUAACAAAUGCCCUGCUUCCAGGAAAAGCCUCUAAGCAUCAGGUAACAUCAAAUCGUACCCCAAACCGACACAGGUGGUCAGGUAGAGAAUACCAAGGCGCUUGAGAGAACUCGGGUGAAGGAACUAGGCAAAAUGGUGCCGUAACUUCGGGAGAAGGCACGCUGGUGUGUAGGUGAAGUCCCUGCGGAUGGAGCUGAGACCAGUCGAAGAUACCAGCUGGCUGCAACUGUUUAUUAAAAACACAGCACUGUGCAAACACGAAAGUGGACGUAUACGGUGUGACGCCUGCCCGGUGCCGGAAGGUUAAUUGAUGGGGUUAUCCGUAAGGAGAAGCUCUUGAUCGAAGCCCCGGUAAACGGCGGCCGUAACUAUAACGGUCCUAAGGUAGCGAAAUUCCUUGUCGGGUAAGUUCCGACCUGCACGAAUGGCGUAAUGAUGGCCAGGCUGUCUCCACCCGAGACUCAGUGAAAUUGAACUCGCUGUGAAGAUGCAGUGUACCCGCGGCAAGACGGAAAGACCCCGUGAACCUUUACUAUAGCUUGACACUGAACAUUGAGCCUUGAUGUGUAGGAUAGGUGGGAGGCUUUGAAGCGUGGACGCCAGUCUGCGUGGAGCCAACCUUGAAAUACCACCCUUUAAUGUUUGAUGUUCUAACGUUGGCCCCUGACCGGGGUUGCGGACAGUGUCUGGUGGGUAGUUUGACUGGGGCGGUCUCCUCCCAAAGCGUAACGGAGGAGCACGAAGGUUAGCUAAUCCUGGUCGGACAUCAGGAGGUUAGUGCAAUGGCAUAAGCUAGCUUGACUGCGAGCGUGACGGCGCGAGCAGGUGCGAAAGCAGGUCAUAGUGAUCCGGUGGUUCUGAAUGGAAGGGCCAUCGCUCAACGGAUAAAAGGUACUCCGGGGAUAACAGGCUGAUACCGCCCAAGAGUUCAUAUCGACGGCGGUGUUUGGCACCUCGAUGUCGGCUCAUCACAUCCUGGGGCUGAAGUAGGUCCCAAGGGUAUGGCUGUUCGCCAUUUAAAGUGGUACGCGAGCUGGGUUUAGAACGUCGUGAGACAGUUCGGUCCCUAUCUGCCGUGGGCGCUGGAGAAUUGAGGGGGGCUGCUCCUAGUACGAGAGGACCGGAGUGGACGCAUCACUGGUGUUCGGGUUGUCAUGCCAAUGGCACUGCCCGGUAGCUAAAUGCGGAAGAGAUAAGUGCUGAAAGCAUCUAAGCACGAAACUUGCCCCGAGAUGAGUUCUCCCUGAGACUUUAAGUCUCCUGAAGGAACGUUGAAGACGACGACGUUGAUAGGCCGGGUGUGUAAGCGCAGCGAUGCGUUGAGCUAACCGGUACUAAUGAACCGUGAGGCUUAACCUUACAACGCCGAAG